GGGUCAAAGACGAGACGUCACCAUUUUGGUGUCCGCAUCAAAUAUAAUUUACAAAAGUGAUUUUACAUACAAAAAACACCUAUAAAAUGAAAGUAAAAUGUCUACUUUUAUGUUUCAAAUAACUUUUGUGAAAAUACAAUGACCAAAUAUGAGUUUAAUAAUGAUCCAAAGUGUAAAAUCGUCAUUCAGCGUAAUGGUCCGGACUAUGAUUUUACUAAUAGAUUUUUAAAUAAACGUAUAAAAUACCAUGUUAAAAAAAUAUUUUCUUCCCUGGCAUGUUCACAUAAGUGUUGGCUGUUUUAUAUUAAUAGGACUAUGUGUUAUUUUUUUCGUUAAAUAUUGAAACAACUAGGGGACUUUUGUCCCGAAUAUGCAGUUUGUCAGAGGUCAUUCAGUGUAACGGGAUAAGGAAACCAUUUUGAAAUUAAAUAAACAAACAAUAGUCAUCAAGCAGUCUGUGACAUCAUCAAAAGGCCCCCUGAAGACCAUGUGGUGAUUCAGCAAGAUGCCCACAAACAAAGAGAAAGUUUCUAGGCACUGGCAGAAAGUUAAUGCAGACCCAGUAGCUAGGGCAAUGCAUUUAGCAAGGACACGAGAAAGCAACCAGAGAAGAAAGCAAGCUGCCUUGGCUGCAAAUCCUGAUCACCUGUCAAUCAGGAAUUUAUCAGAUGCUGCAGCUGAGAAGAGGCGAAAGCAAUGGCGGGAAAAUCAAAGAAAACACAGGGCAGAAGCUAAAUGUAUAAGGGCAGUUCUGGAUCUUAUUAUACAGUAUUACCACCUGUUCAGUUCAUUUUUACGAAUAUGAUAUGCAUUAUGGAAUAAAAAUGAUUAUUAAUUUCAGCAUCUACUUCUGUGAUUUGUUAAGGAAUAAAAUGAUACAGAAUAAUAUUCAAAACAUUGCAAUAAUGGAAACAAUGACACUAUUUUUGUCAAAAAUGUCAUUCAGUGUAACAAACCAUGGUCAUUCGGUGUAACAGAUAUAUUUAUGUAGAAAUGAAACAAUAUACUUAUUCUGAGCUGUACUUAUUAAAAUAUGUAUAAUAAUGUGUGAUCCUUCAAAAAUUUUAUUUGAUUUGAAUUGAUUUUCACUUCCUUACAAAAACUUCUUGCUGACAAAUGGGUAAAACCUAAUGGUUUAAAGGAUAUUGGCGAAGUAAAAUGCUUUAAAAUGACAAAUAGUUAGUAUUUGGUGUCUGCACUGUGAUCUAUAAAUAGAGUCUUGUAAUGUGUCAUCAAAUAAUAGUUUUUCUAAAAAUGUCUGAUAAUAUUUUUUUGCAUAAUAAUAUUGUUACACUGAAUGACAUUUUAGUUGGUGUCUUCUGUACAAUUCCAGUAAAAAUGUAUGGUAGUAAUUAUUUUUUUGCUCAGAAAAACAUAUAGUUAAACAGGACAUAUUCUAAUGUAUGUGAAAAAGACUAAAUUUAAAGCUCUUUUACACUUUUAU